AUUGAACGCUGGCGGCAUGCCUUACACAUGCAAGUCGAACGGCAGCACGGGAGCAAUCCUGGUGGCGAGUGGCGAACGGGUGAGUAAUAUAUCGGAACGUGCCCAGUCGUGGGGGAUAACGCAGCGAAAGCUGUGCUAAUACCGCAUACGAUCUAGGAUGAAAGCGGGGGAUCGCAAGACCUCGCGCGAUUGGAGCGGCCGAUAUCAGAUUAGCUAGUUGGUGGGGUAAAGGCCCACCAAGGCGACGAUCUGUAGCUGGUCUGAGAGGACGACCAGCCACACUGGAACUGAGACACGGUCCAGACUCCUACGGGAGGCAGCAGUGGGGAAUUUUGGACAAUGGGCGAAAGCCUGAUCCAGCCAUUCCGCGUGCAGGAUGAAGGCCCUCGGGUUGUAAACUGCUUUUGUACAGAACGAAAAGGUCUCUAUUAAUACUAGGGGCUCAUGACGGUACUGUAAGAAUAAGCACCGGCUAACUACGUGCCAGCCGCCGCAGUAA
rnacentral:rRNA from 1 species